ensembl:lncRNA
CGCUGUGUUUGGUUCCUAACCGCGACGUUAGCGGUUCAUUUAAACUGUGAGUCAUUGUAGUACGUUAGUUACAUUUCAGUUUAUACUUCAUAAGGGUGUGUAAUGUAACGGCUAUAAAGCAGUUAGAAUGAAACUACGUGUAUGAAUCAAUUUUAUUUUAUUUAUUGUAUCAUCAUUUGUAUCACGUGGCGGCUGUGGAUCAGGUGGUAGAGCGGGUUGUCACUAAUCGUAGGGUCGGUGGUUCGAUUCCCGGCCCGCGUGACUCCACAUGCUGAAGUGUCCUUGGGUAAGACGCUGAACCCCGAGUUGCUCCCGAUGACAAGUUAGCGCCUUGCAUGGCAGCUCUGCCACCGUUAGCGUGAGUGUGAAUGUGUGAAUGAGAACCAGUGUAAAGCGCUUUGGAUAAAAACGCUAUAUGUGCGCCAUUUACCGUUUACUUAAUACUGACGCAGAUUCAGGUUGAGGCCUGUCGACCAAGAGAAGAAUCCUGUGUGAUGAAGUCAAAGCUUAAACUAAUUGACGUCUUGAACUCGCUUGACGAAUAGCAAAUGUUAAAUAUUUCCGUUAAUAAUGAACAACUAUAUGAAGCUUUUAUGUCAAUUUUCUUUUUCACAAACAUACUGUAACAUUAGUCAUUCUUCUGUAUUAUAAACAUGUCACCAAACACUACAUGUAGGUCUUAUUUCUCUGUGUUCUGCAGUUUCCAGUUCAGUGUGUGGACGACCAGGCUGGAUUAAAUGGCGUGGUUAUUUAUGAGAACCACAUUUUCCCCAUUUCAAAUCCCAGAUCUCAAAUCCCACGUCCAGUUCAGUGUGUGGACGACCCGCUGCCUGAAAACGCCGUGGAGGUUUACGGAAACGAGGAAUUCCCGCUGAGAAAUCAGCUACCGGUAAGUUUCCUUUUGUACUUCUAUUUUUUUUUCUUAUUUUCAUUCUAAUAAAUGAAGUUAGCAUUAAAAACACCAACAGUGUUUUAUUCCCAGAUAGAAAUUUUAAUGUAGGUCUUUUUCUCCAUGAAAAGACCUAGAUUUUAUUCAUUAAUAACACAGAACAAUUAAGGUAACAUUAAAGCGCACAAAUGUUGUUUUAACCUCACAGGAAUUUUAACGUAGGACUUUCUCCCCCCAUGUUUUGUAGCUUCCAGUUCAGUGUGUGGACGACCCGCUGCCUGAAAACGCCGUGGAGGUUUACGGAAACGAGGAAUUCCAGAAGAGAAAUCCGCUACCUGUAAGAUUCCUUUUGUAAUGGCUGCUCCUUUAAAACAAAAUGGGGCUGUUAAUUGAUUUGCGCUCCAGUCACGUGCCUCCUAUUGCAUUCUGGGUACUGACCAGUGACCUGUUUGGGAAAGGAAACUACUACUGCCACUGCUACUAGUACCACUAUUACUAUUGCUACUACUGCUGCUACUACUGCUAUUGCUACUACUGCUACUACUACUGCUACUACUGCUACCACUAUUACUACUGCUACUACUACUGCUACUACUACUACUGCUGCUACUACUACUGCUACUACUACUGCUACUACUGCUACUACUACUGCUACUACUACUACUACUACUACUACUGCUACUACUACUAUUACUGCUACUACUGCUACUGCUACUACUACUACUACUACUGCUACUACUGCUACUACUACUACUGCUAAAACUACUACUACUGCUGCUGCUGCUACUAUUACUACUACUACUACUACUACUGCUACUACUGCUACUACUACUGCUACUACUACUAUUACUGCUACUACUACUACUACUGCUGCUGCUGCUACUACUACUGCUACUACUACUACUACUGCUACUACUACUACUACUACUACUACUACUGCUGCUGCUGCUGCUGCUACUACUACUGCUACUACUACUGCUACUACUACUGCUACUACUACUACUACUACUACUACUACUACUGCUGCUGCUGCUGCUACUACUGCUGCUACUACUACUACUACUACUACUACUACUACUACUACUACUGCUACUACUACUACUGCUGCUGCUAAAACUACUACUACUGCUACUACUACUAUUACUACUACUACUCUACUACUGCUACUACUACUACUACUACUACUACUGCUGCUAAAACUACUACUACUGCUGCUACUACUAAUUCUGUUGAUUCAGGGGUCCAGGGUGUCAAAAACCCAACGAUACACAGAACAUCAGGAGCCCUUCAGCUCUGCUCUAACUGAAAAGGAAGCGGUGAUCAUACUACUUUUUUUCACUAAUUCCAUUGGUUUAUAAUAUCCUUGUUUUAUAGAUUUUAUUCAUUAAUAACACAAAACAAUUAAGGUAACAUUAAAGCACACAAAUGUUGUUUUAACCUCACAGGAAUUUUAACGUAGGUCUUCUUCCCCCCAUGUUUUGUAGCUUCCAGUUCAGUGUGUGGACGACCCGCUGCCUGAAAACGCCGUGGAGGUUUACGGAAACGAGGAAUUCCCGCUGAGAAAUCAACUAACAUGUGAAGAACCUACUCAGGACGAUGGUGACUGGUGUCCAAUUUAAAAACAUUAAAAGUCUGAAGACACUAAGAACAUAC